GUGCACAUUUCAUUGUCUUUUCUUCACAUGGAGAGAAAAGAUAUUUCUGAUGUGCUAAACAAACUUGGAGGUAAAUUAGCAGCAUGCCUCCUGUAGCCGCCGCUGUCGGUCACCUUCAGACAAGU